UUUUGGCACUUUUCCGUUUUC
rnacentral:piRNA from 1 species